CCUUAUUAAAAUAUUGCCAUCCUAAUCUAAUGGAAAUUCCCAUGCAAACAUACAACCAAUUAAUGACAAUAAAAUAUAAAAGAUAAUUAAGAAAAUCUUUUACUUCUUGAAAAAUCAUACGCACACACAAUGACUAUUGGAUAGUUUUGAUGCACAUAAACUCUUUUUGAUUAAUAAAAUAGUUUCCUAUAUAAAAGAAACAAUUAAUGACAAAUUAAAGAAUUUAAGUAAACAAGGAGACUUCCCUUUUGUGUUUCACGGUACACAUGACUUGUUGCACAAGUCUUUACUCAUCCCUUGUUUAUUAGAAUCCAA
rnacentral:lncRNA from 1 species